rnacentral:rRNA from 1 species
UACGGAGGAUGCAAGCGUUAUCCGGAAUGAUUGGGCGUAAAGCGUCCGCAGGUGGCAAUGUAAGUCUGCUGUCAAAGCGUCUGGCUCAACCAGAUAAAGGCAGUGGAAACUACAUAGCUAGAGUAAGGUAGGGGUAGAGGGAAUUCCUGGUGUAGCGGUGAAAUGCGCAGAUAUCAGGAAGAACACCAAUGGCGAAAGCAGCUCUCUGGGACGGUACUGACGCUGAGACGCGAAAGCGUGGGGAGCGAACAGG